GCAAUUUGCGACACUGGCGCGGUAAACAACCACUUUCGACGCAAAAUUAAAUUGUGCGACCGAUUGGCUCUCAUUGGGGCCGCCUCGGGAAUUGUACAUCAGCAAAUGGAAGCACUCAAUAAACCCGGAACGUUCGAUGAGGGCUGGUAGGAGGGAACCGAACCAAAUCCAUCGUGAAGUGGCUGCACUGCAGAGUAAUACCAAGGAUAAGCGCGACCGGAAGGGUUAAAAUUCGUUGCCAGCACCGUUUUUGGGAUCCGGUGGUGAUUGAUGUCGUUGAUCAUUUCCAAUCCAGGGUAAAAUACAACGAAUGCGAAUGCUGACAGGAUUCGUGAAGAAGUCGACUAUUCGUGGAAGGAAGGCACCAGACUCCAGAAGUCGCGAGCUCAGCGUCGUUGACCUAGACCUCUACGGAUCGAUUCGUUCACGGUUCCAUAAGAUACAAGACGUAAGAACUAAUAGCAUAAAGCAACGAAAGAAGAGUAUCAACACUCACCAGAAACGGUUCAACUAGGAAGUGAUUGACUACCAGCCGUGUAUGAGACAAAGCAUAGUGUGAACCUGCUGGCUACUUCACUUUAAGGUGGACCAAAACACAGAACUUAGUUCUUUGGUUGCCCCAUUGUUUGGUUUGUCUCCGCAGGACACGAGUGUGGAGGACCUGGAGCUAGGAACGUGUGCGUCUCGUUGCUGUAAUAAUUAAUUACCAGACAACAAACGUACGAGCCAACAGCAGCAACAGCAAAGACACGGUGAGAAGCCACCCAAGUGCAACAAAGAUUUCACCCAAUCUUGCAAUCUACAAUCGCACUACCGCCACAAUCGCGUUCUAGUUGUUUUUUUAGCUACAGAUGUGACAGCAGACCACUGCCAGCAAUUCUGAGUCCAAUUAUUCAUCUCCUCAGUAGCUAUCAUCGUCGUCCGUGGCAAUACGGGAAAUGCUGAUGCUAAUUCCCAAACCGUUCCAGUGUUCUGUUACGACAAACCAUUAUUUGAUAUGGAACUGCUACUCAUUCACGAAGAAACCCACAUCUCAGAAGCACCGUUCGAGUGUUGCUUCGGUACCACGAUGUUUACAGAACUGUCCCAAUCUCAGCUCUCACGUCAAUGUACACGAGGCAACUUGAGUGCUUAACCAUCGCAGGCCCGUCACCCGAUACAACAGUAAACUGCAGGGAUUCGAGUGUUUGUAAAUGGUCCGGUCGGGCGUAAAAUGGUAUAUCAGCAGUAAUUUAUGAUCUAAUGCUGUUCUAAAUUUGAAUCAACCGUUUUUUCGCAAGCGAUGAUGAGCAGCGCUCCUACCCUAUAAAUGCGUCGAAUGAUCGACAAACUUUUUAUUUUACCUUUUUAUUCUAAAUCUAUUCUAAAACAAUAGUCUUAAGUGCGACAAGUGCUACAAGUGAACGCAACUGCACUGUCUGUCAAAUAUGUUCAACUGCAUCGCUUCCUAUUUCCUGGAGUCGCUUUGUAAUAACGUUGUAGAAUUUGUCGCAUGUGGACAGGUCGAAUUUGCAGCGCUUCAUGACUAAAAUAAAAUUCAAUAAUUGCAUAGAGAGUUUUACACGAAUCACCUUUAGCGUAAAUCCAUUGGCGCAAAUAUCGAAACCUUAGGUGGCGAUGGGACCGUGCGUAGUUAUUGCUCGUGCCAUUUUAGGCCCAAUGCCCACGUAGCGUCUUUUCAACGCUGCGUGCACACGGCGUUAAAAGGACGCAUGUGUGCAUCGGGAAAAAGCGGUAACGCAGCGUCGCCGCACCGAUGCACACCUGCGUUUUUUCAACGCCACGUGCACGCAGCGUUGAAAAAACGCUACGUGGGCAUCGGCCCUUAGUAAUAGGUUCUCACAGAAACUGAAACCUUAAUGAUUAGAAAAUAAAAAAAAAACAAUAAAUGGAACGUCAAUGAAUUACGUAACGCUUUUGAAAUGCCUUGUGCAACGAGAUACCCGUUGAGAUUUUAUAUUUUUAAUUGUUGUAGUAAAAUUUUGUCUGUAACAUAUCAGGAAGCAGGGCCAUUUGGGCUGCAUCCCGAUUUCUGUCCUCAAAGUUUUUUUUUCUCGGUUGUAUUUCUUUAUGGGCUUUUACAGUAUAGCAACAGAGAGGAGGAGAUGGCGGCCAUGUUUCACCCAAACUCUGACACAUAGCAAUGGGGUUUCCAAUAAGAGGGAAGAGCAAAAUUGCUUCGACUUCGCGAAUUACUCUGAAGUUUUCGGUGGUCAAAUAUUCGCACGUAACCUCAAUUAUGUCCUUGCAGGUUUAUCUGGUGGGCAUUCGCCGUCAUGGCAGGCAGCCUCGCACUGAUGAGUGAAGUUCGUUCUAGAAGUGGUGCAGCUUUGCUUGAAAAUUUCGCCAUCGCCAAUGCUGCUACAUUCGUUCUGAUGCACUCGUGGCGUUCACAGGACAGUAGUUUAGCGCAUGCAAUGCCACAUCAGAACUAGCUCAGGAAGCACGGAAUCGUCUUUCGUUGUUCGUGUUUGCCGUAACAAUUAUGGGUGUUCAGCACAUCGCACGAUGGACAGUCGGUGUCCGAAUGACAGUUGUGCAGAAUGGAGUGGAAACAGCUGUGUCGUCGAGAACUCGAAGGGGCACAGAGCAGUUGUGUUGUGUUUUCCCUUCAUACAGUGGCAUUUGUGCUUUAAACCAUCUUCACAUCAAUUACAGGUUCCGUUGCAAUAUUUUUGCGGACAGAUAUUGAUACCGCCACUUAAAGCUCUUUCACAAGUGGUAUUGCAAAGGAUCUCAUUUUUCAACGGCAUAUCAUCGGUUUCGUGUAACGACCGCAUCCACAGCUUCUCUGAAUUAUCG